rnacentral:rRNA from 1 species
AGCGAACGCUGGCGGCAGGCCUAACACAUGCAAGUCGAACGAACCUUUCGGGGUUAGUGGCGGACGGGUGAGUAACACGUGGGAACGUGCCUUUAGGUUCGGAAUAACUCAGGGAAACUUGUGCUAAUACCGAAUGUGCCCUUCGGGGGAAAGAUUUAUCGCCUUUAGAGCGGCCCGCGUCUGAUUAGCUAGUUGGUUGAGGUAAUGGCUCACCAAGGCGACGAUCAGUAGCUGGUCUGAGAGGAUGAUCAGCCACAUUGGGACUGAGACACGGCCCAAACUCCUACGUGAGGCAGCAGUGGGGAAUCUUGCGCAAUGGGCGAAAGCCUGACGCAGCCAUGCCGCGUGAAUGAUGAAGGUCUUAGGAUUGUAAAAUUCUUUCACCGGGGACGAUAAUGGCGGUACCCGGAGAAGAAGCCCCGGCUAACUUCGUG